GAUCUUAUGGAUUAAAGGGGGUCAUAUGAUGCAAUUUCAAGUUUAGCAUGGCCCCUGCGAAAGGAUGACACGCAAAUCCGUGAAGCGCUCCAUCUUUUU
ensembl:snRNA U6 U6 spliceosomal RNA